GAACUUUCCUGCUAGUUGUAUUCCCAGAGAAACUACAGUUCCUUCUUUUUCUUGGCUGGUCCUUUGUAAUGGGGAGAUAUGGCAGUAGCAGCAACAGUGGGCAUAACAAGCUUCACUUGGGGUGGAGACAGCUGUAUUGGGAGAAAAAUGAAGAAGAAUUGGCAUGAAGAUUGCUCCUUUUCUCUCUCCAAACAUACACUUACUGGGAUGUUAUAAGGUGUGUUACCAUCUCUUCAUGGAUGCCCAGCUGAUGCUGCACAACUCUCCUGAUAACAUGGAUCCUCACUUCGCUGAUAUUCUUUUGGAGAAAACAAAUUCCACGUUUCUUACUGGCAUGAGAAGCAGAACAGCUAGGCACUGGGGCAGGUUUGCACCUUCCAUCCCAUAGCAGGCAGAGUGCCUGGGUUCCUCUGCAGUCACGUUCCAGAGCUGAGGUGUCCAUCCCUUACUCCAAAGAGGGAGAUGGGGCUGGUUAUGACUUGCUUGCUACUUUCCCAAGCUUUUCCUAGGUAAAAUUUUGCAUUUGCCCUCAAACCGCUUCUAAAUAGGAGGAAAAAUAUUUUGGAACUUCUCUGGAAAUUGCAGGUUUUGCAGCCUUCUUUCUGGGUGAGAUCUAAGGGCAUGAAUAAAUGGAAAAAAACUGAUGUAUCCUUGCCA
rnacentral:lncRNA from 1 species